rnacentral:tRNA from 1 species
GCGAGUGUGGUAUAACGGUAUUAUGCAACCUUCCCAAGGUUGAGAAGGGGGUUCGACUCCCCUCACUCGCU